rnacentral:tRNA from 1 species
GUCGGAGUGGCGGAACUGGCAGACGCGCAGGCUUGAGGUGCCUGUGUCCAAUAACUCGGACGUGCGGGUUCAAAUCCCGCCUUCGACACCA